UGAUAUCCUAGCAAGUUUCCCCUGAUUCCAAAUGCUACUGUGUUCUGAGUCAUGUGGCCAAGCUCCAGAUUCUUAGACAGCUUUUACCCAGACUCCAAUUUGGGACCUGGUAAGAAGAUAGAGGUGCUAUGAAGGACUGAAAAAGGCUUCUGAGUUUGGACAUCAUACAUUAAUCACUCCUGGCCUCUUUUGUGAAGCAGAGCUACAGAGAUGGGUAUUUUGUCCUGUAUCUUGAGGAGCCAGAGGAGGACGGGGCAGUCUCUGAAACCUGGAUUGCAAGAAGAAACAACUAGUUUUUCAGCUCUCACUGCUACCUGCUUAUUCCUUAUCCAGCUGGAUAUGAAAGAUGACAACAGCAAUUACUGAGAACACUGAGGACCAUGGAGCUGGAGGACAUCUCAAAGAGAUCAAACAUGCUUGCAGCUGAUCCAAGUGGAGAAUGAAUUAACCGGAAAGCAAGGGUGGAGUUUCUGUAGUCUUCAGGGCUGAGAGGAGCAGUGACCCAGCAGAGAUCACUGCUGGGAUGGAGGAAGGAGACUGUGAAGUGACCUCAUUAUUGAAGCAAUGACUUCGAUGCUGUGAGCUCAGAAGUUGAUAUGAAAGCCUGGCUUUGGUGAGCAAGACAGCUUGGAUUGCAUCUUGGACAAGCAGGAUCCUCUUGAAUCUUUGUGCCUUUGCCCAAGGUUUCAGCGAAACAAAAGUGCGGCGGGGAAGGGCAGACCGCAGGGCUGGGCAGCGGCAGAGGAGGAAGCAGGCGGGUGAGCGGGCGCUGCGGUCGGGCAGCGGGG